GGGAGCGUUUAAGGAUUCGACGAAAAUUUGACUAAAAAGCGCUUGCAAGCCGUACGGGACCGCGUUAAGGCCCGGCAAACAAAAGUGCCAACAGAACAUUUCAACCUGCAUUAGCUGUUGCUUAAGACAGCGUCUCUUCAAAAACGCCUGCCUCUUUUUGAAGGGAUAAAAAUUGCGGGCUUUGGUAUUUUUCAUCGAAUCGGAAAAAUACCGAGAAAAAAAGAUUCUCGGGGAAAAAAAUUUUGUCAGGUUUUUAUUUUUUUUCCCUAAAAAAGAAAAUCUGACUAAGCUUGCUAAAGGUCUUUUUAGAAAAAUUUUCGGACGAGGGUUCAAGCCCCUCCGCUUCCACUU
rnacentral:tmRNA from 1 species